GAUGAACGCUGGCGGCGUGCCUAAUACAUGCAAGUCGAGCGAACGGACGAGAAGCUUGCUUUUCUGAUGUUAGCGGCGGACGGGUGAGUAACACGUGGAUAACCUACCUAUAAGACUGGGAUAACUUCGGGAAACAGGAGCUAAUACCGGAUAAUAUUUUGAACCGCAUGGUUCAAAAGUGAAAGACGGUCUUGCUGUCACUUAUAGAUGGAUCCGCGCUGCAUUAGCUAGUUGGUAAGGUAACGGCUUACCAAGGCAACGAUGCAUAGCCGACCUGAGAGGGUGAUCGGCCACACUGGAACUGAGACACGGUCCAGACUCCUACGGGAGGCAGCAGUAGGGAAUCUUCCGCAAUGGGCGAAAGCCUGACGGAGCAACGCCGCGUGAGUGAUGAAGGUCUUCGGAUCGUAAAACUCUGUUAUUAGGGAAGAACAUAUGUGUAAGUAACUGUGCACAUCUUGACGGUACCUAAUCAGAAAGCCAUGGCUAACUACGUG
rnacentral:rRNA from 1 species